CCAGUUUACACAAGAACGGCCUAUUGACAGCAAGCAGGAGUUUGAGGUUCGUAGUUAAAAGCGAACAUUUCGUUAAUCAAACCCUAAAACUGGAAUGCCUUGGCUCCUUUAGUAACGUAUCCUAUAUGAGUCACGAUAAGUUAAUCCGAGAGCAGUUCUCCUUUGAUAAUAACGAAAACAAAGAAAACGUAAUUAUUGCUAAACAGCAUAAGCACCAGCACCGAGAAGCAGCAAAGCAAACUCAAAUCUCUACUAAUGGAUGCACUGUUUUCUACCUCCACUGGUCCUUCUGGCUCACCGUAACGUUACUCCAUCUCAGAAGGACUUAAACAAAUGGUCAAAAUAGUAAAAUAAUGAAGUCAUCUGUUUUCCAGUUUGCAAUGAUAUAGUUAAAAAGGAUAUACAGUUUCCUUUGAUAGCUCCAUCCCUAUUUAAAUUUAUUUUUUAUUUAGAAAUAAGCUCGAAAGUAACCUUCAAUGAAGACUAUGUAAGGUGAUAUUUCAGAGAGAUUGCAUGGUAGAGUGUUUGUUUAUUCAUUUGAAUAUGAGGAAACAAAUGAGGACUCUUAAUGAUAGAUAAUCUGGUAAAAAGAUAUUUUAUUUACUAUUUCACUUUUGUACAUAUUUAAUUUAGUAUUCCAAGCAUCCCGCAAGAAGCGAUGAUUAAUGUUUCGUCAAA